CCACGAUGGAAGGGGGUGCGUACGGAGCGGGCAAAGCCGGGGGCGCCUUCGACCCCUACGCCCUGGUCCGGCAGCCGCACACCAUCCUGCGCGUCGUGUCUUGGCUGUUCUCCAUAGUGGUGUUCGGCUCCAUCGUGAACGAGGGCUACCUCAACAGCGCCUCCGAGGGGGAGGAGUUCUGCAUCUACAACCGCAACCCCAACGCCUGCAGCUAUGGCGUGGCCGUGGGCGUGCUCGCCUUCCUCACCUGCCUGCUGUACCUGGCCCUGGACGUGUACUUCCCGCAGAUCAGCAGCGUCAAGGACCGCAAGAAAGCCGUCCUGUCCGACAUCGGUGUCUCGGGUGAGCCCCACCCAGCGGGUACCCCCUGCACAGAGUCUGCAGAGCAUUGUCCCGGCCAUAGGAGGCGGCUGCCGCCCUUCUUCCUUCUUCCCAUUUUCCAGAUGAGGAAAUGAGGUGCAGGCGGGUGAAGGGACGGACUCAGGGUCACAUGGCUGGCAGCAGGAAGGAUGGGACCAGGACAGGGCCUGGGACCCCAAAAUAACCCAUGCUGCCCACAGGCAGGGGGGCAUGGAUGGGAUUCUAGUUCCUUCUAGUCUAAGGGACCCAUGGAUGGCACUGGGCAUGUGCCAGCCCCCAUGGGUUGGCCCAUGUUUCAGUGGCCUCUUCUGUGCCACCUCCCUGGGGCAGCCUCAUGAGGACUAAGCAAGGCGGUGACUGGGUGCCCAGUGCACAGCAGGGGCCCUGGAGCCUCAGCCUCCCCACGCCUCCCAGCCAGACCUUGGCAGGACCAGGGCCUGGACCUGUGGAGCCAACCUGACCUGCUGCCCUUUGCCCUUCAGAAGCAGCCUUUGGCAGAGGCACCCUGACCUCUGCUCCGUGAGUUCCAGGAAUCUGAUUGGUGGAUGCUCUCAGUCAGGGGUCCGAACCCAAGGCUUCAGCCUCGCUGUUCCGAGGCUUGGGUCCCUGGACUGGGACCAACCCCUAGUUCUAAGCCUGGAGCUCUCAGGAUAAGCCAGGCUGAAGGCAGGUCAUGAGGCCUAGUUUUAGAAGGAACUAGAACUAAAUGAAUGGUUCUCAAACUUCCGCAGAGCCUCAGGGUUCCCUGGCAGUGCCUCUGGGAGGUGGGCUGGGCCCCAGGUGGGCACCUCACCUGCUUGGCAGAUGCAUGCCUUGUCCUGAGCAGGUCUGGGCUUCUCUGGGGAGACCUUGGCACUCACAGGAGAUUGUGUGGCCAUGAGGCUCCCACUGCUGAUGCCCCCAGGCUCGGCUCUCUGUGAGCCCCUCGCUAAACCUGGGGCUCUGUGGGGUCGCAGCACGUUAGAAGUCGAAGCCCAGACCCACCCAGCAAAGCUGCCAUCCUUGCCCCAGCCUCGUCCUCCUCCCCACACCUCAUUUGUCUGGCAGCCUGGGGGUUGGGGUCUUCCUACCUGCAGAGCUGCAGGCAUCAGGGGUGGACCGGGGGGGCCCAUGUCAGGGGUGUGGCUGGAGAUGGGGGUUUGGCAGAGGCUGCAGAAAUGCGGCCUGAGUUGAUUACCUUCUCUCUCUGUCUCUCCCUCCAUCCUCUUCUCUCACUGCCCGUGGCUCUCCUCUGACUGGCCCUGCCCCUGCCCUGUCUGUGGUCUCCUCCCCCCUGCAUCUUCUCUUGGCUCCCCUCUCUCUUCCCCUACCCCCUUUGCCUCUCUCUUUGGGGGUGGGGGAGCAUGGGAGAUGCACUCUUGAAUGUCCCCCUGUUCCUCGGCUUCCCCAUUUUCUCCCCACUCACCCUCUCCCCCACGUGUGGCACUGCCCAUUCUGCCCGGUCCUGGGACCCCCCAGCCUUCUGGGCUUUCCUCUGGUUCGUGGGAUUCUGCUACCUGGCCAACCAGUGGCAGGUCUCCAAGCCCAAGGACAACCCGCUGAACGAAGGGACGGACGCAGCCCGGGCUGCCAUCGCCUUCUCCUUUUUCUCCAUCUUCACCUGGGUGAGUACAGCCA
rnacentral:sRNA from 1 species